rnacentral:rRNA from 1 species
UACGGAGGAUGCAAGCGUUAUCCGGAAUGAUUGGGCGUAAAGCGUCCGCAGGUGGCUGUGUAAGUCUGCUGUUAAAGAGCAAAGCUUAACUUUGUAAAAGCAGUGGAAACUACACAGCUAGAGUGCGUUCGGGGCAGAGGGAAUUCCUGGUGUAGCGGUGAAAUGCGUAGAUAUCGAGAGGAACACCUGCGGCGAAGGCGGGUUGCUGGGCUGACACUGACGCUGAUGCGCGAAAGCCAGGGGAGCGAACGGG